AUGACUCUAUAUGAAUGCCUCCGGUGGUGUACCGGGAUAUGCAAUGAACGAAGAGUGACAUGUAUGGAAGAAUUAUCAAGGUGGCUUUGCCACAAAUACGAUGUCAACUACAUGAUCAUGCAAAAGCAAUAUGACAAUGAUGAUGCGUGUCAUAAUAAACGGAAUGGUGAAAAGUUGCAUGGCAAUAUAUCUCGGAAUGGCUAUGGAAAUGCCAUAAUAGGUAGGUAUGGUGGCUGUUUUGAGGAAGGUAUAUGGUGGGUGUAUGGUACCGGUGAAAGUUGCGCGGCACAAGAGAGGCUAGCAAUGGUGGAAGGGUGA
rnacentral:rRNA from 1 species